UACGUAGGGUGCGAGCGUUACUCGGAAUUACUGGGCGUAAAGCGUGCGCAGGCGGUUCGUUGUGUCGGCGGUGAAAGCCCCGGGCUCAACCUGGGAAUGGCCGUUGAAACUGGCGAACUGGAGUGUGGCAGAGGGGGGUGGAAUUCCGCGUGUAGCAGUGAAAUGCGUAGAGAUGCGGAGGAACACCGAUGGCGAAGGCAGCCCCCUGGGCUAGCACUGACGCUCAGGCACGAAAGCGUGGGUAGCGAACAGG
rnacentral:rRNA from 1 species